CAAAUACUCCCUCCGUUCGGAAAUACUUGUCAUCAAAAUGGAUAAAAGGAAAUGUAUCUAGACGUAUUUUAGUUUUAGAUACAUCUCUUUUUAUCCAUUUCAAUGACAAGUAUUUUCGGAUGGAGGGAGUAGAAA
rfam:Triticum aestivum genome assembly, contig: Triticum_aestivum_CS42_TGACv1_scaffold_112125_2AS